rnacentral:rRNA from 1 species
CCUACGGGUUGCACCAGUGGGGAAUAUUGCACAAUGGGCGCAAGCCUGACGCAGCCAUGCCGCGUGUGUGAAGAAGGCCUUCGGGUUGUAAAGCACUUUCAGCGGGGAGGAAGGCGGUGAGGUUAAUAACCUCACCGAUUGACGUUACCCGCAGAAGAAGCACCGGCUAACUCCGUGCCAGCAGCCGCGGUAAUACGGAGGGUGCAAGCGUUAAUCGAAAUUACUGGGCGUAAAGCGCACGCAGACGGUCUGUCGAGUCGGAUGUGAAAUCCCCGGGCUCAACCUGGGAACUGCAUUCGAAACUGGCAGGCUAGAGUCUUGUAGAGGGGGGUAGAAUUCCAGGUGUAGCGGUGAAAUGCGUAGAGAUCUGGAGGAAUACCGGUGGCGAAGGCGGCCCCUGGACAAAGACUGACGCUCAGGUGCGAAAGCGUGGGGAGCAAACAGGAUUAGAUACCCCUGUAGUC